rnacentral:lncRNA from 1 species
UAAUGUUUGUGUCCAGUUCUGAACUUAUAUGUUGAAACCCAGUGACGGAUGUGGAGAAAGGAACGGUGAAUGACCCCACGGUUCAAGGGUCCAUGCUUCUAAAGGUCUGCCCUCAGUGUUCUACCUGGCUGAGAUGCUCCAAUGACGCCCGAGAUGAGAGCAGCCUGGCGUAGCUGCUACAACUGGGGGAUUCUCGGUUCUUUCUGGACACCGGUGUCUCAAGUUCCAAGGCCAGCUCUUCUGAGGCGAAGCCGUAUACAAUAAACGACAGAACAGUUGGACAAUCUGCAACUCGCUGAUUACAAAAGAAAAAAAAGAAAAGGAAAAUGUACCGUGAAGUUUGGAAUGCUGCAGUGGUAGCCAGAGGAUCUCUAGUAGAGCCGUUUCCUUAGGGUAGAGCUAUAGGGUAGAGCAAGAGUCCGACUCCUGAUUCUCUGGGCAUGGAUACCAAAUGUCCUCCCCUGCCAAAUAGGUAGCUCAGCUAAAAAUUCCAGAAAACUG